rnacentral:rRNA from 1 species
UGGGGAAUAUUGCACAAUGGGCGAAAGCCUGAUGCAGCAACGCCGCGUGAGUGAUGAAGGUCUUCGGAUUGUAAAGCUCUGUCUUUUGGGACGAUAAUGGACGGUACCAAAGGAGGAAGCCACGGCUAACUACGUGCCAGCAGCCGCGGUAAUACGUAGGUGGCGAGCGUUGUCCGGAUUUACUGGGCGUAAAGGGUGCGUAGGCGGAUGUUUAAGUGAGAUGUGAAAUACCCGGGCUUAAC